rnacentral:rRNA from 1 species
CCUACGGGAGGCAGCAGUGAGGAAUCUUCGUCAAUGGGCGCGAGCCUGAACCAGCCAAGUCGCGUGAGGGAAGACGGUCCUCUGAAUUGUAAACCUCUUUUGUCGGGGAGCAAAAGUCGCCACGCGUGGCGUUCCGAGAGUACCCGAAGAAUAAGCAUCGGCUAACUCCGUCCCAGCAGCCGCGGUAAUACGGAGGAUGCGAGCGUUAUCCGGAUUUGUUGGGUUUAAAGGGUGCGCAGGCGGAAGCUUAAGUCAGCGGGUAAAUGGAGAGGCUUAACCUCUUCGAGCCGUUGAAACUGGUUUUCUUGAGUGAGCGAGAGGUGUGUGGAAUGCGUGGUGGAGCGGUGAAAGGCAUAGAUAUAACGCAGAACUCCGAUUGCGAAGGCAGCAUACCGGCGCGCAACUGACGCUCAUGCACGAAAGUGUGGGUAUCGAACAGGAUUAGAUACCCUCGUAGUC